rnacentral:rRNA from 1 species
GAUGAACGCUGGCGGCGUGCUUAACACAUGCAAGUCGAACGAAGCAUUUCCUUUUCUUCGGAAAAGGAAAUGACUGAGUGGCGGACGGGUGAGUAACGCGUGGGUAACCUGCCUCAUACAGGGGGAUAACAGCUGGAAACGGCUGCUAAUACCGCAUAAGCGCACAAUGCUGCAUGGCAUAGUGUGAAAAACUCUGGUGGUAUGAGAUGGACCCGCGUCUGAUUAGCUAGUUGGUAAGGUAAUGGCUUACCAAGGCGACGAUCAGUAGCCGACCUGAGAGGGUGACCGGCCACAUUGGGACUGAGACACGGCCCAAACUCCUACGGGAGGCAGCAGUGGGGAAUAUUGCACAAUGGGCGAAAGCCUGAUGCAGCGACGCCGCGUGAGCGAAGAAGUAUUUCGGUAUGUAAAGCUCUAUCAGCAGGGAAGAAAAAAAUGACGGUACCUGACUAAGAAGCACCGGCUAAAUACGUGCCAGCAGCCGCGGUAACAC